GGAGAGGUGCCGGAGCGGUUGAACGGGCUCGACUCGAAAUCGAGUGACUGCCUGACAGCGGUCCGUGGGUUCGAAUCCCACCCUCUCCG
rnacentral:tRNA from 1 species